rnacentral:rRNA from 1 species
CCUACGGGUGGCAGCAGUGGGGGAUAUUGCACAAUGGGGGGAACCCUGAUGCAGCGACGCCGCGUGGGUGAAGAAGCGCCUCGGCGCGUAAAGCCCUGUCAGUAGGGAAGAAAAUGACGGUACCUGAAGAAGAAGCCCCGGACAACUACGUGCCAGCAGCCGCGGUAAUACGUAGGGGGCAAGCGUUAUCCGGAUGUACUGGGGGUAAAGGGGGCGCAGGCGGCGAUGCAAGCCAGGAGUGAAAGCUCGGGGCCCAACCCCGGGACUGCUCUUGGAACUGGGUGGCUGGAGUGCAGGAGGGGCAGGCGGAAUUCCUGGUGUAGCGGUGAAAUGCGUAGAUAUCAGGAAGAACACCGAUGGCGAAGGCAGCCUGCUGGACUGCAACUGACGUUGAGGCCCGAAAGCGUGGGGAGCAAACAGGAUUAGAUACCCGUGUAGUC